GCAACUGUGGGGAUUUCCAAAACAACGACUUGGCACUUUUGGUCGUCAGUAUACGAAGAGCGAGGGCUUUGGAUGUCCAGCGCAUCAUAGAUGUGUUUUCCAUCAACCACAACAACUGUUGUGAAUUGUUGAAUAAUUCUGCCAAAUAAUAUUCGACUGAGGCUGACAUUCACUUCUUGUGUUUGCUGAAUGACAGUUUAAUACCUAGGAAGCGGCCGUCUGUGCAGAGGCUUUUGAAUUGGUUGUUGACAAAAGGCAUCCUGUGCAAGAAGAAGAAAAGAUUUUGG